AACGAACGCUGGCGGCAGGCCUAACACAUGCAAGUCGAGCGGACCUUUCGGGGUCAGCGGCGGACGGGUGAGUAACGCGUGGGAAUAUGCCCUUCUCUACGGAAUAGUCCUGGGAAACUGGGGGUAAUACCGUAUACGCCCUUUGGGGGAAAGAUUUAUCGGGGAAGGAUUAGCCCGCGUUGGAUUAGGUAGUUGGUGGGGUAAUGGCCUACCAAGCCGACGAUCCAUAGCUGGUUUGAGAGGAUGAUCAGCCACACUGGGACUGAGACACGGCCCAGACUCCUACGGGAGGCAGCAGUGGGGAAUCUUAGACAAUGGGGGCAACCCUGAUCUAGCCAUGCCGCGUGAGUGAUGAAGGCCUUAGGGUUGUAAAGCUCUUUCAGCUGGGAAGAUAAUGACGGUACCAGCAGAAGAAGCCCCGGCUAACUC
rnacentral:rRNA from 1 species